UCACAGCGUUGGUCGACUUGACUUGAGAAGAAGCGCCGACAAGUCUCUGAAGUAGCUUAUGUGGGUGAAUAGUGAGUAGUAGAUUCAUAUGCAUGUUUUGCGGUUUUCUGAGGAAAUUGCUAGGGUGCAGGGGGCUAAAGGUAGCGCAUGGUCCGGUGUGACGCAAAACACUUGGAGAGGGGGAGAAUCUGAGGAGGGCAGAUAGAAAAAUCAACUGUCCAUUGGAUGACACGGGCGAUCGACUCCACGAAUUCAGUCAAGAAGAAACGCAGAAUGAGCCCAAAUCUUCUUCUGGACUUGAAUUUAGGCACUUUUUUAUUUUGAUAGUUUUGCACAUAAUACUUAGCCUGACUGCUACGUUUAUAAUUGAGGACAAAAGAGGCAUUCCGGUUUUUGUAUAGAAUCGACCUGGGGAGUUGUUAUAAUUAUGAAGAAUGAAGAAAGACUGACAAAAGAGGCAUUCCUGUUCUUGUAUAGAAUCGACCUGGGGAGUUGUUACAAUUAUGAAGAAUGAAGAAUGAAGAAUGAGCAACACAAAAGCCACUGCAAUUCAGACAUAGAGGCCUAGGUUGGCAACACAAGGUCA
rnacentral:lncRNA from 1 species